rnacentral:rRNA from 1 species
AUUGAACGCUAGCGGCAUGCUUAACACAUGCAAGUCGAACGGCAGCGCGGGGAGCUUGCUCCCUGGCGGCGAGUGGCGGACGGGUGAGUAAUGCGUAGGAAUCUACCUUACAGUGGGGGAUAACCCGGGGAAACUCGGGCUAAUACCGCAUAAUCUCUACGGAGCAAAGCAGGGGACCUUUGGGCCUUGUGCUGUAAGAUGAGCCUACGUCGGAUUAGCUAGUUGGUGGGGUAAAGGCCUACCAAGGCGACGAUCCGUAGCUGGUCUGAGAGGACGAUCAGCCACACUGGGACUGAGACACGGCCCAGACUCCUACGGGAGGCAGCAGUGGGGAAUAUUGGACAAUGGGGGAAACCCUGAUCCAGCAAUGCCGCGUGUGUGAAGAAGGCCUUCGGGUUGUAAAGCACUUUCAGCGGGGAAGAAAGAACCAAAGUUAAUACUUUUGGGUGUUGACGUUACCCGCAGAAGAAGCACUGGCUAACUCUGUGCCAGCAGCCGCCGCGG